CUCCCAGGCAGAACCAGAAGUGCUUUGGGCCACCACUGCCCUUUGCCUUCUACAGCAGCUCCCUUUGGUUGCCCACGGCAGUGCAACAGGGAGAGACACAGCGGGUUUGUUUGUUUGCUUGUUUGUUUUUAAUUUGUCUUGUGGCCACAGAACUUUUGGUACACUCACAUCGUGUUUUCAAGUCUAAGUUGGACUGCAGGCAAGGUCUUCAAAGCUGCCAUGCUGCUGCCCUCUGAACAUCAGCAAAUGCAAGGGAUGCACCCCUAGUCACCUCAUGAGACAUGAGACUCAGACUCGCAGCACUACAGUUGGAGGCUGUCCUACAAGAAGACAGCAAUGCUGCGCUCCAACUUCAGCUUGAAUCACAUCCUUCUUUAUGCUAAUUUAAUUGUACAUAAAGAAAAUCAACACCCAGAAGCGAAGCUGUACAUUGCAGCUGUACUCAGACAAUGACAGAGAAGUAAAGG
rnacentral:lncRNA from 1 species